rnacentral:rRNA from 1 species
ACCAGGGUCUUGACACUCCCCCGCCGAUGCUUUUAGAGAUAAAGCGGAGGUAUUCGGGAGACAGGUGGUGCAUGGUUGUCGUCAGCUCGUGUCGUGAGAUGUUGGGUUAAGUCCCGCAACGAGCGCAACCCCUAUUGCUAGUUACCAUCAUUAAGUUGGGGACUCUAGCGAGACUGCCAGUGAUAAACUGGAGGAAGGUGGGGAUGACGUCAAAUCAUCAUGCCCCUUAUGACCUGGGCUACAAACGUGAUACAAUGGCUGGAACAAAGGGAUGCGAAGCAGUGAUGUGGAGCGAAACCCAUAAAAACAGUCUCAGUUCGGAUUGAAGUCUGCAACUCGACUUCAUGAAGUCGGAAUCGCUAGUAAUCGCGGAUCAGAACGCCGCGGUGAAUACGUUCUCGGGGUUU